UAGAUGAGUAUGGCCCCUGCACAAAGAUGACGUGCAAAUUCAUGAAAUGUUCCAAUUUUUA
rnacentral:snRNA from 1 species